AUUGAACGCUGGCGGCAGGCCUAACACAUGCAAGUCGAGCGAGCGGCGGACGGGUGAGUAAUGUAUGGGGACUGCCCGAUAGAGGGGGAUAACUACUGGAAACGGUGGCUAAUACCGCAUACUAUCGGAUAACCCAUAUGGGAUUAGCUAGUAGGUGGGGUAAAGGCUCACCUAGGCGACGAUCUCUAGCUGGUCUGAGAGGAUGAUCGGCCACACGGAGACUGAGACACAGCCCAGACUCCUACGGAGGCAGCAGUGGAGAAUAUUUCACAAUGGGAGGAAGCCUGAUGCAACCAUGCCGCGUAUAUUAAGAAGGCCUUAGGGUUGUAAAGUACUUUCAGCGAGGAGGCGUUACCCGCAGAAGAAGCACCGGCAAACUCCGUACCAGCAGCCGCGGUAAUUC
rnacentral:rRNA from 1 species